UUCUGAGACUGAUGGCUACUUUCUGAGGUGGUCCCCUACAGUUUCAAAGCUUCCCGGAGCUCCACCUCUGCUGAGAAACCCCUCACCGAGCUUCCCUUUCUGUCUGGUUCUGUUGAACGCAAACGACAUCUGCUUCCCACUCCCUGAAACUUCUCUUCAGGGUUCCCGUCAUUGGCUCAAGCUAUGGGAGAGGGCGUGUGAGACCCAGGCCUUCCGGAGGCUUCCAGAGUUAAAGCACUCCCACGGACAGGAGACAGAACUGCCUGUGGAGAAUUGCAUUAUAGCCAAGCGCCGGGAUAUAUAUUUAUCUGUGCCUGACAUUCUCAUCUCUUUUUAAAGGAAAAGCCACACAUUUGGCCAAAAGAUGAAGUGGAAAAAAUGUACUGUUGAACAAAUAUCCAGGAUGGUUGCUCAGAAUGUAUAAAAUGAUGAACUGUGUGGAAAAAUCAUGCCUGUGGCAAAUUGUCAGCAGGCUAUAUUUGGGGGUCCGAAUGCAGGGCCCCUGCCAACUGAGUUCACAGAGCCUUAGUGUUUUUCCACUUCUAUUUAUAGCGAUGCACACAUUCACACACAAAAAAUGCAGGGGACAUUGGACUUCGUUUUUAAAUGAUGAAAAUGUUCGAAAUGUAUCUGGUUUCAGCACGUGAGAGCCGCUCUGCUGUCUACGAUCAGCCUUGCUUACUGAAGAAGGGAUUAAUCAACGUGGGGAAAACAACGUAAUAGGAUCCUUUGGGAAUCUGAAAGUCUGAAAACAACUUUUUUCUCUAUUUCCUUUUUAAAAUGUAAUUCACUUCAACAAAACUUUAUUGAGCACCAACGAUGCAAAAUGUUGAAAUGGACAUCUGAUUGUUGUCUCUCAGCCUCCAUUCCUCCUGCCCCUUUUCCAGCAGCCAUUGCUUCUAGUUGGAGAACCACGUGUUUCCAGUGAGGGAGAUUCUUCUUUCCAGCUUCAGAUGUUGAACACAAGACCUGGCUUGGCCAAUCAGGGCAAGCCAUCCCCCUGGGCACAGUGAUUGGCUCAGGCCCACCCCGAGCUGGACCAAUCAGAGUGAAGAGUGAGACUUUGGCCAGGAAUGCUGAAACAAAGACUGAGCCUUAGUGUUGGAUUUGAAGGAAGAAGCCCCAGGAGCUGCUGAGAGCUGUUUUAUAACCAUGAGCUCAAACUUUAUAGCAAGACAAAGCCAGAAUGUUCAGGUGAAGAAGCAGAGAAUGGCUGUGUGAGUUUCCUAGGCUGUCGGAACAGAGAGCCACAAACUGGGUGUCUUCAAUCCAUACAAAUGUAAUUAUCUCACAGUUCUGGAAGCUGGAAGUCUGAAAUCAAGGUGUCAGCGGGGCUAUGCUUCCUCUAAAGCCUCUAGCCACAGCUUGCUGAGAUCUGAGCACAUAAUCAGAUACACUGACAUGGAUGUUACCGUGUGGACAAGGAAUGAGCAACCUUGAAAAAUGUAUUUUUCUAUAUGCUGUUUUGGUUUUAAGAUCUUGAGAAAGAAGUCCAGGAAUUCACAAGCUUGAAAAGGAGAUGCUGAGGCCACUGUGAAGACUUGAAUACUUUUGCCUUGGAGGCAGUCCCAGGCCCACCACUCUCAGCAAAGGUCUCCUCCUGCCCUUUCCCAGAUCUAACACAGGACAGCAGGCGGAGAGGAACCACCCCCUUUUCCUUCUCACUAUUCUGGCUCUUGUUAGAGUGACAGUGGGAUGGGAACUAGGACUCUUUGUCAUUGCCAGGGGUUGCCUUGAAGGACUGGAGUCUGAGAGUAAGCAAACUUUAUGACCCACAAAAAAAAAACCAGCUUCAGGAAAGCUUAAUGGAGUUCCUGGUGUGAACUUAGAAGCAAGGUUUGAUAAUUAAUUCUGACCUGGCUAUUUGUGAAUAAACAAAGAUUAAUACAGUGAUUUCCAUUUUGCUGAGUAUUUUUCGGCCUCUGAACAGGACGGUCACAUGGUUUUGCUCUUGUUUGCAUGAAGCGAAAUUCUGGGGUCCUCUCAAUAAACCCACAAGAGUUUCUAUCUCAUAAUGAGAGCUGGCUUCUUGUGUUUUUGAGGCAGAAUUUUGACAGUGUUUCUUGUGCAUUCUUCACCAUCAUUUGGAGCCACCACCUUGGCAACGUCUGUAGACAAGGAGAUAAGGGACUCUCAAAUCUAUCCUUGAAGAGGAAGUGGCCCCAGAGUUCCGAUAAAAUCCUGCCGUAUACGGGCUGUAUAAAAGCAAUUUGACCACUUGCGAUUUUGAGUCUUAAGAAUCUUUCAAUUUCUCAGCCUCUGGCAGGAGUAAGAGAAUAAUAUCCUGGAUGUUUAUAAAAUUCGAUAACCUUUUAAAUCCAUCCCACUUGAAGGAAUAGCUAGAUUUCUGGACCCCCAUUUUCUGAGGCUUUCCAGGAUGGACGCAUGCUAUCAGCUCCCCCUGCAGGUCUGACUCUUUCCUGACAGGGAAUUCCUGGAGGUCCACUGAGAAAAUGGAUUCUGGAAGGGCUCUAAAUUGUGUCGCACAGACGAAAUGCUUCGACUGCUUGGAAAUGACCCACCUUUCUGCUGGAAGCCACAUGUCCUGGGAAUGCACCAAAGUCUGAAUCUGUCAGUACCUUACUAUGCUGCAGGAAAACAAAGUCCCACCCAGAACUCCAGUGCCCAGGCAGGACCUUCCUUGCGCUAAACGCGCUUUAGAAUGUUCAAUUCUCUCUCUUCUUUGUAAGCACUGUGGCCCUGUGGUAAAUCCAUCACAGAUAAAAUGGCCUCUACAUGAGCCAUGUGCUAAAAAAGGAUACGUACACCCAUUGUGUGUUGAGUCUAAAAGUUGUUUCUCAAAAAGUUUUGGAUUGUCCCAAAUUUUAUAUGUGAGUUUGCUGAUUCAGUCAUUCAAUAAAUAUU
rnacentral:lncRNA from 1 species